GACGAACGCUGGCGGCGUGCUUAACACAUGCAAGUCGAGCGGUAAGGCCCUUUCGGGGGUACACGAGCGGCGAACGGGUGAGUAACACGUGGGUGACCUGCCCUCAGCUCUGGGAUAAGCCUGGGAAACCGGGUCUAAUACUGGAUAUGACUCCAUGACGCAUGUUGUGGGGUGGAAAGCCUUGUGCGGCUGAGGAUGGGCCCGCGGCCUAUCAGCUCGUUGGUGGGGUGANGGCCUACCAAGGCGACGACGGGUAGCCGGCCUGAGAGGGCGACCGGCCACACUGGGACUGAGACACGGCCCAGACUCCUACGGGAGGCAGCAGUGGGGAAUCUUGCGCAAUGGGCGAAAGCCUGACGCAGCGACGCCGCGUGAGGGAUGACGGCCUGG
rnacentral:rRNA from 1 species